UGAGUGAUGAAGGCCUUCGGGUCGUAAAGCUCUGUUGUCAGGGAAGAACAAGUGCGGGAGUAACUGCCCGCACCUUGACGGUACCUGACCAGAAAGCCACGGCUAACUACGUGCCAGCAGCCGCGGUAAUACGUAGGUGGCAAGCGUUGUCCGGAAUUAUUGGGCGUAAAGCGCGCGCAGGCGGUCCCUUAAGUCUGAUGUGAAAGCCCCCGGCUUAACCGGGGAGGGUCAUUGGAAACUGGGGGACUUGAGUGCAGAAGAGAAGAGCGGAAUUCCAUGUGUAGCGGUGAAAUGCGCAGAGAUAUGGAGGAACGCCAGUGGCGAAGGCGGCUCUUUGGUCUGUAACUGACGCUGAGGCGCGAAAGCGUGGGGAGCAAACAGGAUUAGAUACCCUGGUAGUCCACGCCCUAAACGA
rnacentral:rRNA from 1 species